rnacentral:tRNA from 1 species
GAGGGUAUAGCUCAGUGGUGGUUAGCAUGGAAGAGGGCCUGGGUUCAAACCCUAGUACCUCCA